rnacentral:siRNA from 1 species
UUACACGUGUGCCUUCUCAUGCA